rnacentral:rRNA from 1 species
UACGUAGGUGGCAAGCGUUGUCCGGAUUUACUGGGCGUAAAGGAUGCGUAGGCGGACAUUUAAGUCAGAUGUGAAAUACCCGAGCUUAACUUGGGUGCUGCAUUUGAAACUGGGUGUCUAGAGUGCAGGAGAGGUAAGUGGAAUUCCUAGUGUAGCGGUGAAAUGCGUAGAGAUUAGGAAGAACACCAGUGGCGAAGGCGACUUACUGGACUGUAACUGACGCUGAGGCAUGAAAGCUGGGGGAGCAAACCGG